rnacentral:rRNA from 1 species
UACGUAGGGUGCAAGCGUUGUCCGGAAUUAUUGGGCGUAAAGAGCUCGUAGGCGGUCUGUCGCGUCUGCUGUGAAAACUCAGGGCUUAACCCUGAGCUUGCAGUGGGUACGGGCAGACUAGAGUGCGGUAGGGGAGACUGGAAUUCCUGGUGUAGCGGUGAAAUGCGCAGAUAUCAGGAGGAACACCGGUGGCGAAGGCGGGUCUCUGGGCCGUAACUGACGCUGAGGAGCGAAAGCGUGGGUAGCGAACAGG